UCAGGGUUGCUUGAGCAAAAAUUUACUGUACAAAAGAUUCGUUGAAUUUUUCUUCAAAUUUCCAUCAACUUCAGAAUUUUCAAUUUUUCACGACAAGUUGUAUGCAACUUGCUAUUGAAUUUGAGCACAAUUACAAAAUAUUAUUAGAGAUAUGGAGAUCCAGUGGGGACGGUUAGAUGCCGGAAUUGAUAUCAAUCGUCAACGUCGAUCAGUUCAGCGUCAUCAUGACAUCCGCAUUCAGCAUCUUCAAGCAUCUUUAAGAUCUGGAAGGUUAAACAACUCAGCCAAUUGAUGAGCGAUUAAUGAAAUAAAAUUAAUAUUAACUAAAAAUGAUAAUAUACUCUAUUCUACGUUACAAGAAUUCCUACACGCUACAGUGAAUCGGGAUCUUCAUGAUUCAAUAUUUUUAAUUUUAAAUGAUAAUCAACGUGAACAGCUACCAAAUAUUGGCAAUAUUGAACAUUUAAACCUCAUUUUGCAGGAUCCUUAAGAAUCUCUCUAUUAUGUGUUAUUUUGUAUUCCAUUUGAUAUUUAUUUUUAUUUAAUAAUAAAUUUUAACA